UGCUGCUUGCGGACUUGAGGGGGCCAGGGUGGUUUACGUGGUUCAUUCCUCCCAUUAUUUGAUGGGCAGAAAGAAGAUUCUAGGAUGAGCCUUGGUGUGCACAAAGAGGAACCGAACUCCUGCGCCCCUCACCAGCCCCAUGCCCACCCCCGAUGUCCAUCUGGCUGCAGGGACGGGAAGCUCGGCCACCACAGUCCUGUCCACGGCAGCACUGCUCAGGAGGGACGGACACCAGUCACCUGUGGAGCUGUUGGUGCUGGCUCUGCGGAUCUCAGGCUGCUCCGCGAUUCCCAGGCCGCUGUCCUUGGUCCACACUGCGGGCAGCACACCAGGCUCACACUCCACGCCACCCUCUCCUCCACCCCAAGCCUGGGCCCAACAGGAAGUGAUGUGCUUUUGUUCACCCUGAGUCACCCGGUCAAUUUCACUGCACGAAUCUGAAAUCACCAGGUUGCCCACGACAGGGUGAAAACCGGAUUUCAUGUCUCCGCGGGGACAGGGUUCCUCACACUGACACCAGCUGCAGGCCACUCUCGCCAACACCGUUGACCUAGAGUCUAGCAACAGGAUGUCAGCGAGCAGGCGACCCUGGCCGCGGGUGCUCUCCGGGACAGCUGGCCCGUCCCCAGUGCCGGCCAGGGAUGCAACGCCUUGGGGGUUAACAACCGCUGGGUUGCGUCCCCUGCUCAGGACCGGGCUGAGGACAAUGGUCUUCGGCAGUUUGGGAAACGGACA
rnacentral:lncRNA from 1 species